GAUGAACGCUGGCGGCGUGCCUAAUACAUGCCAGUCGAGCGAACAUUCCAGGGUCUUUCUCCUCUGACGUUAUCGGCGGAGGGGUGAGUAACACGUGGAGAACAUACCUCUAAGACUGGGAUAACUUCUGGAAACCGGAGCUAAUACCGGAUAAUAUAUUGCACCUCAUGGUUCAAUAGUGAGAGACGGUUUUGCUUUCACUUAUUGAUGGAUCCGCGCCGCAUUAGCUAGUUGGUAAGGUAACGGCUUACCAAGGCAACGAUGCGUAGCAGACCUGAGAGGGUGAUCGGCCACACGGGAACUGAGACACGGCCCAGACUCCUACGGGAGGCAGCAGUAGGGAAUCUUCCGCAAUGGACGAAAGCCUGACGGAGCAACGCCGCGUGAGUGAUGAAGGUCUUCGGAUCGUAAAACUCUGUUAUUAGGGAAGAACAAAUAUGUAAGUAACUAUGCACGUCUUGACGGUACCUGAUCAGAAAGCCACGGCUAACUACGUG
rnacentral:rRNA from 1 species